rnacentral:rRNA from 1 species
GACGAACGCUGGCGGCGUGCUUAACACAUGCAAGUCGAACGGAAAGGCCCUGCUUCUGUGUGGUGCUCGAGUGGCGAACGGGUGAGUAACACGUGAGUAACCUGCCCUCGACUUUGGGAUAACUUCAGGAAACUGGGGCUAAUACUGGCUAGGAGCUCCUGCUGCACGGUGGGGGUUGGAAAGUUUCGGCGGUUGGGGAUGGACUCGCGGCUUAUCAGCUUGUUGGUGGGGUAGUGGCUCACCAAGGCUAUGCGGUGUCGCCGGGCUGAGAGGGUGAACAGACAGAAUGGAAGUGAGAGACGGGCCAGACGGAUAGGGGAGGCAGCAGUGGGGAAUAUUGCAGAAUGGGAGGAAGCCUGAUGCAGGUAUGGCGCGUGUAUGAAGAAGGACUUCGGGUUGUAAAGUAAUGUAAGGGGGGAGGAAGGGAGUAAAGUUAAUACGUUGGCUCAUUGACGGUACCCGAAGAAGAAGCAAGGGCUAACUCCGUG